UGCUAGGAUACCAUUUGGUGGUCAACUGUCUCCAGUGCAGCUGCUAUUACUUGCCAGACUGACAGACAUAUUAGCUUUUAUCCCCCCUAAUGCUCGGGCUACAGAAAGUUUCCCUUCAUUUUAUUCCAUUUUGAUUUGGGGGGAGAGAUCAAGGUAAAGGUGCAGAAAGUACAGAAACACAAAGAAGCUACGGUGCACUUGAAUGUUGGUCUUCAUAUAUUUGAGAUGUGAUGAUUCCUGACAGCAACAGUGUCUUCAGAAUCAGGCACUGAGAGAAGGCGACCUCUAACAGAUGAAUGGCAGUGCUCAAAUUCAGAUUUAAGAAUUGGAUUAUGACUGAAGUGAUAGCACUCCUAUAUGACUGUCAACAUUUACUCUUUAUUCCAGGCUGCCAAGUUAAUGAAGAAUGGAACAUUCAGCAAAAUAGAAAAUCCAUAUCAACAUCACCCCAGAUAAUAUCACUUAAUAAAGAGUUUAAUAUCACUUCAUAAGGAGUUAUAAUAUCUCAGUAUGGUCUCAGUACUGUGUGGAAUCCAUACCUAAUACAUAUGUACAAUAAGAAAUACAAGUGUAAGAUUCAUCUCAUCUAAAUUUAACCAUCAAAAAGUUAAACACAAAGUUGAGUAGUUCCAUCUCCCUCUGUAGAGAAAACAGAGAAACAACACUGUUGAAAGGCA
rnacentral:lncRNA from 1 species